AAAAUGAGAGGAAAUUCCAACACAACUUGACAUGAGGCCAGCAGUAAGUCUGGAGGAAGCCAGUAGUGACAGCUUAUGGAGAAGCACAUGUAGGGAGAAACAGAGGUCUUGGCUAACAGACAACAACCAUGUGAGUGAGCUUAGAAGAAGAUUCUUUAAUACCAGUCAAGUCUUGAGAUGACAGCAGCAGCAGCUGACAGUUUGCCACUUCUUGAGUGCCUGAACCAGAACAAUUCAGGCCAGGAAUAGAAGACAAGACAAUGGGAAGAACAUAAUGAGCAAAGACAUGAAGUGAACUGAAGUGGUAUGCUGUGGUAUUCUGUCCAGAGACACAGCACAAAUAGAAAAAUGAAUGGUCAGCACUUUACUUGUUCUUCCAAGUCUACGGUGAGGUUACAAAUUAUAGUGAACUGAUCACCAUUUGAGUCAACUUGAGGACAAAAGAGAAACUAGUAAUAAAGAUCUUGGGAGACAACCUUGUGAUCUACAGGGAUUUGCUGGAUAAAUGCAUACCUUUCCUGCCUAAUGCCCAUGCUAUUCCUACUUCCUGGAAUGUUUUUACUUCAUCUCUUUG